UGGGGAGUAGCCAAGUGGUAAGGCAAUGGACUUUGACUCCAUCAUGCGUAGGUCCGAAUCCUACCUCCCCAA
rnacentral:tRNA from 5 species